rnacentral:rRNA from 1 species
UGGGGAAUUUUGGACAAUGGGCGCAAGCCUGAUCCAGCAAUGCCGCGUGAGUGAAGAAGGCCUUCGGGUUGUAAAGCUCUUUUGUCAGGGAAGAAACGGCUGCGGCUAAUAUCUGCGGCUAAUGACGGUACCUGAAGAAUAAGCACCGGCUAACUACGUGCCAGCAGCCGCGGUAAUACGUAGGGUGCAAGCGUUAAUCGGAAUUACUGGGCGUAAAGCGUGCGCAGGCGGUUUUGUAAGUCUGUCGUGAAAGCCCCGGGCUCAACCUGGGAAUUGCGAUGGAGACUGCAAGGCUUGAAUCUGGCAGAGGGGGGUAGAAUUCCACGUGUAGCAGUGAAAUGCGUAGAGAUGUGGAGGAACACCGAUGGCGAAGGCAGCCCCCUGGGUCAAGAUUGACGCUCAUGCACGAAAGCGUGGGGAGCAAACAGG